CAGGCCCACUAUCACCGUUACUAACGUAUUUAAGAAAAAAGCUGAGCGAGCUCACAGCUCACAUUAAUAACUAGCAAAUGGAUCGUAGGAUAAUUUUUUUCAUCUUUUGCAUUAUUGUUGGUCGACCAUGUGCUGACAAAAUACCUGAUAUUACAGCGUUCAGUAGUUCCUUUAUUGUGGACGAUAUCACUACGACGAAACUGCGCGUCAUCACCGGCAAGGCGGACGGCGUAAACACAAACGUCAUGUUUGGUAUCGGUUUAUGGGUGGACGACAACGGCACGCAUUAUGGAGAAAACGAGUUAAUAAAUCUAGAGCACGAUUUAGCCGAUUCUAUAUUUACUUCUGGUACUGUUUUCCAAGAAUGCAGAUAUAGAGCUCAACAGAUAAGAUGUUCUCUCACAUUCCCUUCUUCUGUUGGAGUACGCAGGGUCGGUGUGAAAUACUUGUGGACAGAAUUCAGUGGUCACAAUGCUUCAACCUCGAUGGUGUUCCUAGCAAAGGAAGCCACCGUUUUACCACAACACCGAACUAUUACAACCAGUAUCGGUGAAACUGUUCACCUGGUAAUGAUUCUUAAUGGUGAUAAUGCCAAUAGCUUACGAUGGAAAAAAGACGGGGGAUCCGAUAUCAUGGAGUGGGAAGGCUUAAGCAACGUGAGUCUUAAAAUCAUUGGGAAAAAAGACGCCGGUAUCUAUGAAUGCUACCCGGAAGGACGACGACAUUUAGGUCAACACGCUAUACUACGAUUACUUGUUAGAGGGUGCCCUCGUGGAAAGUGGCUGCCUCCUGAUUGUGGUAACGAUUGUCCCGUAUGCUACAAUGGGGGUGUGUGUUCUGUUCAGUUUGGAUCUUGCAUCUGCCCCCCGGGCUUCACUGGAGAUAACUGUCAAAAUGCGUGUGGUCAUAAUAAUUGGGGCCGCGAUUGCACUAUAAAAUGCAGCAGCGCUAGACCAGGUUGUCCAGGAGUGUUGUUUUGCCCUCCUGAUCCUUUCGGUUGUUCGUGUAUGUCUGGUUAUUGUGGCCUUGAUUGCAGGAAAGUAUGCGACACUGGAACAACAGGUAAGUAUGGACCCGGAUGCCUUCUUGAUUGUCACUGUGACGCUAUUGAAUGUCAGCCAUCAGAGGGUUGUAACGCAGACGCCACUUGUCAUGCUGGUUACACUGGCACGCGGUGUCUAGAAUGCGACACUGGAGCAUCAGGAAAGUACGGACCAGGAUGCCUUCUUGAUUGUCACUGUAACGCUAAUGAAUGUCAGCCAUCAGAGGGUUGUAACAUAAACGCCACUUGUCAUACUGGUUACACUGGUACGCGUUGUCUAGCUAAUGACUGUGGUAACUUGGACAACAUCGAAAAUGGGAUGACUUCCUAUACUGGUACAACCUUCGGCAUGAAUACUACCUAUACGUGUAACAUCGGCUAUAAUAUAAAUGGAGUGAUGAUCAGGACUUGUGAAGCAACUGGACUUUGGUCGGGGUCACCUCCCACUUGUGAAGUUGUCAGCUGUGGCGAUCCUGGUUCAAUAAUAAAUGGAAUAAGGAUGGGUGCUAACGAAACUUACGGAAGCAUAGUAACCUACGUCUGUAACACUGGGUAUAACCUGCUGGGUGCUGCAAGUGUCACAUGCCAACCUGAAGGCACAUGGUCACAGAGCGCCCCUGUUUGCCAAGUUGUUAAUUGUGGGAUAGUUUCUGUAGGAGAAGGGGUAUUCGUUAAUGGCGGUAUUUUCACUUACAAUGCUGUCCUAAUGUUCAUAUGUGACAGAGGAUACAAUACAGUAUCAGGCGAUACCACUAGAACAUGUCAGGCUGACGGCAACUGGUCUGGAAAUGACUUGGUAUGCGAAACAGGCAGUUGGAGAACAAACCGAAAGGUGGAAUCAAGAUUAAGAGGUUUUGAAGGGAGAUGCCUUAGAAGGAUUUUAAACAUCAGGUAGCCAGAUCGGGUAACAAACAUUAAAUUAGGAGAAAAACCCAAAUAAAUGACGUAAAUGAGGAUAUUCGAAAGAGGAGAUGGAAUUGGUUUGAAUAUGUGCUUAGAAUGAAAAAUGAUCGUCAUCCAAGACAGACAGAAAGAUGGAAACCAAUGUGGGAAAAAAGAGGAAGGCAGAAGAACAAACGGUGGAAGAAGAAAGAAAACAAAUGUCAAAAACAACAAUGAAAUAUAAUAGAUGGCGCAGGAUAGAGGACAAUGGAAAACAUUUGUUACUGUCUUAUGUACUCAUCAGCAUAAAGAGGAUUAAGUUCGUGUGCAAAAAAAAAAAAUCCUCAUUUUUUUUGUC